rnacentral:piRNA from 1 species
UAUUUGUUUCUUCAUAAACAAUGGAUC